CGAACGGUCCUUUUUAGGGCCACAAAUACCUAUGAAUACAUUGACU
rfam:Heterorhabditis bacteriophora unplaced genomic scaffold Scaffold192, whole genome shotgun sequence.